UUUUGGGUAGUUUAAAAAAUAUUAAUUUUGGAGAUUAAAGUUAAGCAUCGCUUUCCAAAAA
rnacentral:tRNA from 1 species